rnacentral:rRNA from 1 species
GUGCCAGCAGCCGCGGUAAUACGGAGGGUGCAAGCGUUAUCCGGAUUCACUGGGUUUAAAGGGUGCGUAGGCGGGCUUGUAAGUCAGUGGUGAAAGCCCGGGGCUCAACUCCGGAACUGCCGUUGAUACUGCAAGUCUUGAGUACGGUUGAGGUGGGCGGAAUACAUCAUGUAGAGGUGAAAUUCUUAGAUAUGAUGUAGAACACCGAUUGCGAAGGCAGCUCACUAAAGCGUAACUGACGCUGAGGCACGAAAGCAUGGGGAUCAAACAGGAUUAGAUACCCUUGUAGUCC